UACGGGGGGGGCAAGCGUUGUUCGGAAUUACUGGGCGUAAAGGGCUCGUAGGCGGCCAACUAAGUCAGACGUGAAAUCCCUCGGCUUAACCGGGGAACUGCGUCUGAUACUGGAUGGCUUGAGUUCGGGAGAGGGAUGCGGAAUUCCAGGUGUAGCGGUGAAAUGCGUAGAUAUCGGGAGGAACACCUGUGGCGAAAGCGGCGCACUGGACCACAACUGACGCUGAGGCGCGAAAGCUAGGGGAGCAAACAGG
rnacentral:rRNA from 1 species